rnacentral:tmRNA from 1 species
GGGCUAGUAAAGGUUUCGACGGGGGUCUUGAAGUCAGGGAAGCCAUCCGUGGGCUCGUCCACGUAAAAACGGAAAUUUAAAUAUAAACGCAGACAACAAUAGAGUUGCCUUAGCAGCUUAAGCUGCUUCGUCGGCCCGCUAUUACCUGUGGUAGCGGAUCACCGGCGUCAUGAUCACAGGAAACGACACUGUCAAAGCUUUGAGGCAGCGGGCGUAUGAUGAAGCUACUGAUGAUGUAAGGAAGCUGCUUGCCGUGCAUCUGAGGGAAUGAAAAAGGAGUAGCUGUGAUGGGAGAUGCCUUGGGGGAUGGGCUUUCGGACGCGGGUUCGAUUCCCGCCUGGUCCAUAA